rnacentral:rRNA from 1 species
CCUGUCAUUUGGGAACAAGUUGCAUUGGUUAACUGCCGAUGCAUUGAUAGUACCAGAAGAGGAAGAGACGGCUAACUCUGUGC